CAGCAGCCGCGGUAAUACGGAGGAUGCGAGCGUUAUCCGGAUUUAUUGGGUUUAAAGGGUGCGUAGGCGGCCUGUUAAGUCAGCGGUGAAAUCUAGGAGCUUAACUCCUAAAUUGCCAUUGAUACUGGCGGGCUUGAGUGUAGAUGAGGUAGGCGGAAUGCGUGGUGUAGCGGUGGAAUGCAUAGAUAUCACGCAGAACUCCGAUUGCGAAGGCAGCUUACUAAGGUACAACUGACGCUGAAGCACGAAGGCGUGGGGAUCAAACAGGAUUAGAUACCCCGGUAGUCCCUGUCUCUUAUAA
rnacentral:rRNA from 1 species